rnacentral:rRNA from 1 species
CAGCAGCCGCGGGAAUACGGAGGGGGCUAGCGUUGUUCGGAAUUACUGGGCGUAAAGCGCACGUAGGCGGCUUUGUAAGUUAGAGGUGAAAGCCCGGGGCUCAACCCCGGAAUUGCCCUUAAGACUGCAUCGCUUGAACGUCGGAGAGGUGAGUGGAAUUCCGAGUGUAGAGGUGAAAUUCGUAGAUAUUCGGAAGAACACCAGUGGCGAAGGCGGCUCACUGGACGACUGUUGACGCUGAGGUGCGAAAGCGUGGGGAGCAAACAGGAUUAGAUACCCGCGUAGUCCCUGUCUCUUAUAC